CUUCUGUGUGGUGCCAAGUACAUCAAAACAGCAAGGGAAAACUGGAAAUCCAGCAGGAAAUGUAAAAUAAGCAGGUCCAAGCAGGACAUUAAAACUUUUGAGAUGCUGAUUCAAGGAAAGAAGGGAGAUGAAGUGGGCUGUCAGCUGCUGCACAGUGGGGAGAUGGUGACUGACUCCGAGGCACACAUAAGCAAGACAAAACAUAAUCUCACCUACUCCCACCUAACCUAAAGGUGGAAGCUGCAGGAUAAACCUGAAUUUACUGAGCCUGGGACUGAAAGAUGAAAGCUGAGUCAGGUUUGGCUGAAUCAGCAGCUACUAAAUCCAGGAGCCACUGGUUGUGGAGAUUGUUCAGGACAAACUCACAUGGAUGUACAUGCAGGGCAUUCUGUUCUUCAUGUCAAAAGUAUGAAGAAGGACAUACGUACUUAUUUGUGCCUCAUCUGUUUCACACCUCCUGCUGCCAAUGUGGUGCUUGGGUUCCUGAAACAAAACAAUGCGACAGUUCUGUGCUACAUCUGCUAACAUCAUUCCCUGUGGCCUCCAUAAUGGGAGAGAAAAUGAAGUUAAGAGCCUUCAAACAGCUCAUUGCAGGACAGCUGAGCAAACAUUCUUUCCUGGACAUAGUUUAUGAAAGAGGACAAGGCAACUUGUAG
rnacentral:lncRNA from 1 species